rnacentral:rRNA from 1 species
GGUCCCUAUCUGCCGUGGGCGUUUGAGAGUUGAGAGGGGCUGCUCCUAGUACGAGAGGACCGGAGUGGACGAACCGCUGGUGUUCGGGUUGUCAUGCCAAUGGCACUGCCCGGUAGCUACGUUCGGAAUCGAUAACCGCUGAAAGCAUCUAAGCGGGAAGCGAGCCUCAAGAUAAGCUCUCACUAGCACUUUAAGUGCUCUGAAGGGUUGUUGAAGACGACAACGUUGAUAGGCGGGAUGUGGAAGCGUAGUAAUGCGUUGAGCUAACCCGUACUAAUUGCCCGUGAGACUUAACCAUACAACACCCAAGGUGUUUGG